UACGUAGGGGGCAAGCGUUGUCCGGAAUCAUUGGGCGUAAAGCGCGUGUAGGCGGCUUAGUAAGUCCGCUCUGAAAGCCCGGGGCUCAACCCCGGGAGGCGGGUGGAUACUGCUGAGCUCGAGUCCGGAAGAGGCGAGUGGAAUUCCCGGUGUAGCGGUGAAAUGCGCAGAUAUCGGGAGGAAGACCAGUGGCGAAGGCGGGUCUCUGGACAGUUCCUGACACUGAGACACGAAGGCCAGGGGAGCAAACGGG
rnacentral:rRNA from 1 species